CCGGAACCGGCGAAGAACCGCCCAUGACGAACCUAGUGAUGCUAAACGCCCAAAGCUGUUGUCCAAGACCUUCGGGUUGAGGGUUUCAGUGGAGCGCGUGACCCGAUCUAGUAGUAGUCAAGCGAUGGAGAGACGCAGGAAGGUAGCCUCCGCGUGGCGAUGGUAGUCCACGUCCAAGGGUGUAGGGCGAGCUGUAGGCAAAUCCGCAGCUCACAUAGCCUGAGACCUGAUAGUGACCGCGUAUGCGGGAAGCAGGGUGAUCCUAUGCUGCCAAGAAAAUCUUCUAGCGAGGUUCGAGCCGCCCGUACCCCAAACCGACUCAGGUGGUUAGGUAGAGAAUACCAAGGCGAUCGAGUGAAUCGUGGUUAAGGAAUUCGGCAAAAUACCCCCGUAACUUCGGGAGAAGGGGGGCCCAGAGGGUGAAGGCACUUGCUGCCUAGCCUGAACGGCCGCAGAGACCAGGGAGAAGCGACUGUUUACUAAAAACACAGGUCCGUGCGAAGUCGCAAGACGAUGUAUACGGACUGACGCCUGCCCGGUGCUGGAAGGUUAAGAGGACCGGUUAGUUCUUCGGAGCGAAGCUGAGAAUUUAAGCCCCAGUAAACGGCGGUGGUAACUAUAACCAUCCUAAGGUAGCGAAAUUCCUUGUCGGGUAAGUUCCGACCUGCACGAAUGGCGUAACGACUUCUCCACUGUCUCAACCACGAACUCGGCGAAAUUGCACUACGAGUAAAGAUGCUCGUUACGCGCAGCAGGACGGAAAGACCCCGGGACCUUUACUACAGCUUGGUA
rnacentral:rRNA from 1 species